rnacentral:rRNA from 1 species
AUUGAACGCUGGCGGCAGGCCUAACACAUGCAAGUCGAGCGGAUGAAGGGAGCUUGCUCCUGGAUUCAGCGGCGGACGGGUGAGUAAUGCCUAGGAAUCUGCCUGGUAGUGGGGGAUAACGUCCGGAAACGGGCGCUAAUACCGCAUACGUCCUGAGGGAGAAAGUGGGGGAUCUUCGGACCUCACGCUAUCAGAUGAGCCUAGGUCGGAUUAGCUAGUUGGUGGGGUAAAGGCCUACCAAGGCGACGAUCCGUAACUGGUCUGAGAGGAUGAUCAGUCACACUGGAACUGAGACACGGUCCAGACUCCUACGGGAGGCAGCAGUGGGGAAUAUUGGACAAUGGGCGAAAGCCUGAUCCAGCCAUGCCGCGUGUGAAGAAGGUCUUCGGAUUGUAAAGCACUUUAAGUUGGGAGGAAGGGCAGUAAGUUAAUACCUUGCUGUUUUGACGUUACCAACAGAAUAAGCACCGGCUAACUUCGU